rnacentral:tRNA from 1 species
UCCAGGGAUGGUGAAUCGAACCCACAAUGUUCCGCUUACCGGGAAGAUGCCAUGUCCACUAGGCUACCCCUGU